CCUACGGGGGACAGCAGUGGGGAAUAUUGGACAAUGGGGGAAACCCUGAUGCAGCGACGUCGCGUGAGGGAUGAAGUCUUUCGGUAUGGAAAGCUCUAUUAGCAGGGAAGAAAAUCACGGUACCUGACUAACAAGCCCCGGCUAACUCCGGGCCAGCCGCCGCGGUAAUACGUAGGGGGCAAGCGUUAUCCGGAUUUACUGGGUGUAAAGGGAGCGUAGAGGGCGGUGCAAGCCAGAUGUGAAAGCGCGGGGCUCAACCCCGGGACUGCAUUGGGAACUGUGGUGCUUGAGUGUCGGGGAGGCAGGCGGAAUUCCUAGUGUAGCGGUGAAAUGCGUAGAUAUUAGGAAGAACACCAGUGGCGAAGGCAGCCUGCUGCAGGAUGACUGACGUUGAGGCUCGAAAGCGUGGGUAGCGAACAGGAUUAGAUACCCGGGUAGUC
rnacentral:rRNA from 1 species